UACGUAGGGGGCAAGCGUUGUCCGGAAUCAUUGGGCGUAAAGCGCGUGUAGGCGGCUUGGUAAGUCUGCUCUGAAAGCCCGGGGCUCAACCCCGGGAGGCGGGUGGAUACUGCCGAGCUCGAGUCCGGAAGAGGCGAGUGGAAUUCCUGGUGUAGCGGUGAAAUGCGCAGAUAUCAGGAGGAACACCGAUGGCGAAGGCGGGUCACUGGGCAACAACUGCGCUGAGGAGCGAAAGCGUGGGGAGCGAACAGGAUU
rnacentral:rRNA from 1 species